AGACUGUCAAGGUCAAGGUAGGCUUGGAAACUUGCCGCCAACCAAGACAGGGCUAUCCACAGGAAAUGUAUGAUGAUUAUUGUCAUAUUUUCAUCCUUGAUAGUUAU
rfam:Neisseria elongata subsp. glycolytica ATCC 29315, complete genome.